rnacentral:rRNA from 1 species
GGUUCCCUCCGAAGUUUCCCUCAGGAUAGCUGGAGCCCACGUGCGAGUUCUAUCGGGUAAAGCCAAUGAUUAGAGGCAUCGGGGGCGCAACGCCCUCGACCUAUUCUCAAACUUUAAAUAGGUAGGACGGCGCGGCUGCUUCGUUGAGCCGCGUCAAGGAAUCGAGAGCUCCAAGUGGGCCAUUUUUGGGAAGCAGAACUGGCGAUGCGGGAUCAACCGAA